rnacentral:rRNA from 1 species
GACGAACGCUGGCGGCGUGCUUAACACAUGCAAGUCGAACGGAAAGGCCCUGCUUUUGUGGGGUGCUCGAGUGGCGAACGGGUGAGUAACACGUGUGUAACCUGCCCUUGACUUUGGGAUAACUUCAGGAAACUGGGGCUACUACCGUAUAGGAGCUCCUGCUGCAUGGUGGGGGUUGGAUAGUUUCGGCGGUUGGGGAUGGACGCGCGGCUUAUCAGCUUGUUGGUGGGGUAGUGGCUUACCAAGGCUUUGACGGGUAGCCGGCCUGAGAGGGUGACCGGCCACAUUGGGACUGAGAUACGGCCCAGACUCCUACGGGAGGCAGCAGUGGGGAAUAUUGCACAGUGGGCGGAAGCCGGAUGCAGCAACGCCGCGUGCGGGAUGACGGCCUUCGGGUUGUAAACCGCUUUCGCCUGUGACGAAGCGUGAGUGACGGUAAUGGGUAAAGAAGCACCGGCUAACUACGUG